UCACAAAAAAUUUGAUUGCAAAGUAAUUCAGAAUCAAGUUUUAGAAUUUUUGCCACAAUUUUUUUCCAAUAAAAGUUCAAAAAUUAAGCUCCGAAGAUUAUUAGGAAACUAAAAAAUUAAAAAUUUAACGGAGG
ensembl:ncRNA ZK470.11 ncRNA